AGGGAUGCGGUCAGGGAGGGGACACUGGUGGGAGCCCUAAGGUCCCAUUAGUGCUUUGUUUUUAAAAGCCAGGUGGUGGGUAGACAGAUAUCUGCUGUGUUACUCUUCUUUAAACAAUGCUUAUAUUUUAUACAUUCUUCUGUAAGUGUAUUUUACAUAUUUAAAAAUAUUUUUAAAGGACAGCAAAAGAUAAAAAAUAGGAAAAGUCCCCCUGCCCAAACCCCUGAAAAAAAUGGGACAAUAUGCUCAAAUGUGCAUCAUGUUGUACAAUUAUUCAUGAAGCAAUAAAGCUGGGGGUGUGUUUAUUCUCAGCCAAAUCACUGUUUCAUCCAGAGGGUCCUGUGUACCAUCACACUCUCAGCAGAAUCUCUACAGGCCCGUGCAGCUGUCCUCACGUCCUCAUCACGGCAGCGCCCCCUAGGAUCCAGCAAAUUUUCCUUUGAAGUUUCAAUACAAUUUCCUAGGUCCUUGAAGAGUUGCAGCAAGUCCCACCAUCUGCCUGAGUCUGUUUUCAUUUCCACAAUGGAGGUGGUGACACUCAGCACGCGGAGCUGUGAUGAGGAUUUAAUGGGGAAUCCGGAGCAUUUAUAGAAGUCCCAGGAGGCCAAGAUUCUACACAGGUAGGAAGGACCUAAGCCAGAGGGGUGUGGGUGGCCAGAAGAGAGAGCCUACCUUAGUAGGGCUGGGUGGGCUAAGGUCUGGGCUGAAUCUCAAGGCCCUGGAGCUUAGAACAGCGUCUGCAACUCCCUGGCUGUGGAAGUUCAGGCAAGGACUGCGUCCUCUCUGAGUGUCAGUUUCCCCAUCUAUAAAUGGAAGCUGCGACACUGGAAAACACUGUGGGGAGGAUGGUUCCUGAGGCAGUCUCUCUCCACACAUCACUGGAAUGCCAGCCCCCAGGGAGAAGCAUCUUUGUCCAUUGUGUUCACUUCUGCAUCCCCAGUGCCCAGAACAGUGCUUGCAUGUAGCAGAUGCUCAAUAAAUGUUCAUUGAAUGAAUCAGCAGCAACCAAUUCGCCCACCUCACAUCCUAAGUCUGCCGGGGACCUAGGCCCACCUCUCCAGGGAAACUGUCUGCAGAUUGGGACCACACCUCAGGUCACAAGCAUUUCCUGAACACCUACUAUAUGCACGGCUCUAUGCAGCCCAGGGUAGACCCUGCUCCAUCGCCCGACAGGCAGAGCCAAGGAGGCAGGUGACAGACACAGUGAUGUGGGAAGAAGGACAGAGAGCAGGGCGGCCAGCAGGGCCUUGCCUGGGUGGGAGCAGGCUGUUCCCAGGCUGGAGCUCAGGCUGAUGGGAGCCCCAGCUUGCCUGUUCCUGGGAGGGUGGGGCUGCCUGUUCCUCUUUCUUUCUUUGAAAACAAAAAUUGUUUUCCCUUAAAUUUAUAACUAUUAAAAGUUUGGAAAAUGCACAAUCAUCAAAAGAAUGUAAAAUAAAGGUUACCUGCCAUCGUGGCACACCAUACAGCGUUAACUCCUAUUGACAUUUCAGUGUUUCCCUCUAGUUUUUUUUUCUGAGGUGGCCUUGCUCUCAGAGGUGGCUUUCUCUCCCCCUGGGAAGGGAUAUAGCUGCUCUGUGGGAGAUGUGGGGGCACCAGGCUCUCUCCGUGGGCUGUUUAUCACUUCUGACUUUGAGGUCCUUUCUCCAUCCCUCCUGGAUCCAGCACCUCUUCCCGAGACACAGGGGUGCGAAAUGCUGGGGAAAGCAUGUCAGCAGGCCUCACCUCCUGCCCCUGCUUUCCCCAUGGAGGUGGAGUGGGACAGAGCUCAGGCUUGAGGAGGGAGCACUGGAGGCCAAGCCACAGGUGCUG